rnacentral:rRNA from 1 species
UACGUAGGGUGCGAGCGUUUGCCGGAAUUAUUGGGCGUAAAGAGCUCGUAGGCGGUUUGUCGCGUCUGCUGUGAAACCGGAGGCUCAACCUCCGGCCUGCAGUGGGUACGGGCAAACUAGAGUGCGGUAGGGGAGAUUGGAAUUCCUGGUGUAGCGGUGGAAUGCGCAGAUAUCAGGAGGAACACCGAUGGCGAAGGCAGAUCUCUGGGCCGUAACUGACGCUGGAGGAGCGAAAGCGUGGGGAGCGAACAG